AUGUUGGGAACCUUAAAAGAAAAGGAGAAAAACCACUGGCGUGACCAUGUAAAGCCACUAACUCAUGCCUAUAACUGCACCAAGAACGAUGUCACCGGGUUCACCCCAUAUGAGUUGAUGUUUGGGCGCCAGCCUAGGCUGCCAUUGGACAUUGCAUUCUGUUCGCCAGUAAAAGACGGUGCUCCAAAAUCUCACUCUCAGUAUGUUAGAAAGCUGAGAGCCCGUCUUCAAGAGAGCUAUCAGAUAGCAACCAAAAACUCCCAAAAGGUUGCUGAACGGAACAAACGACGAUUCGACAGAGCAGUAAGAGAAUCAACACUAGAAGAAGGUGACCAAGUGUUAGUAAGGAACCUGCGCUUGAGGAAAAAACAAAAACUUGCGGAUAAGUGGGAGUCCACUGUGUACAAAGUUCUUAAAAGGAUGGGAGAUCUACCUGUUUACACAGUACAGCCAAUAAAUGGAGACGGCCCCGUCCGAACCCUACAUAGGGAUCACCUACUCGCUUGUGGGAACCUGACUGAAGAGGAAAUUGAGCCGGCCAAACCAAAGGUCCACCGGCCAAUAACUAGGCGCAGCCAACCUCUGCUCCCUGUGGAGAACUCAGACUCUGAGGACGACUCUUACUUCUGUCCUACCCAGUUGCCUGUCAUCCCUGCAGAAACAGUAGUUGAGGUCUAUGAAAUCCCAAGGAGACCGCAACCAAUUGUAACCCCAACAGAAGAGGCUAACUGCUCACCAGUGCCCAAUACCUCCUUGACCCCCCAGCCCCAGGGUGAACCCUGUGCAGGCAGUUCCCCAGUAUUGCCGGCAGAAGCUGUUGCAACAGUCCCUGAGUUGGUUCCAGGGGGUGAACCAGAUAUCAUGGAUGAGCAACUCUCUGCUGAAGAGAAUGUAACUUUACCGGAUAUGACAAAUGGAAAUCCAGCCAUGGCUGAGGAUGAUGGAAAUGGAGAAACUGCUGAAGAAACCCAGCAGCUGAACAACAAACCAACCGGGGAUACCGAUGACAAAAACAAACAAAGUGGAACUAUCACAGAUGGAGAGACAAAUGAUCAAAACAUCACAACACGAACAUCUGGAAGGUCGCGCCAACCACCUGAGCGCUUCCUAUAUAUCCAGAUGGGGAAACCCUUAAUCUCCUUUGCACAGAGUCUCUUAGAGAGCUUUAAUAAAGUCAUUGAUGCCAUUGGUGACUACGACGUCUCCCCUGUAGUCUACCGAUUAGAGCAUGAAGGGACUCAUGCAGAGUCAAGGGAGGAGGGUGUAACCCAUAUGGAAUAUAGGGCCUCUAAACCCUUUAUUAUUUAA
rnacentral:lncRNA from 1 species